UUUGCUUUUACUGCAAUAAAAUACACAUAUUUGUAUUCAGCAAAGUCUCACGUGUAAAACAGUACCCUCUAUGUACAGGUUUUAUGGCGUUUUGGGAAGUUACAGGGUCAAAUAUAGCACAUUACAUUUGAAAUUGAAAUUCGCCAGAUUGGUUAUGUUGCCUUUGGGACUUUAUAGUAGCCAGGAAUGAAAUUUACACCCAUAAUGGCAUACCAUUUGCAAUAAUAGACAACCCAAGG